UUGUGGUUAAAAAGCUCGUCGUUGGAUCUCAACAGCCUUGAAGCGGUUAACUUUGUAGUUUUACUGCUUUAUAGGCUGUGCUUUUGCUGGAGGUUUAGGGGUGCUCUUGAUCGAGUGUCUCUGGAUGCCAGCAGGUUUACUUUGAAAAAAUUAGAGUGCUCAAAGCAGGCUAAAAUGCCUGAAUAUUCGUGCAUGGAAUAAUAGAAUAGGAUGUCGAUCCUAUUUUGUUGGUUUUCGGGACUCGACAUAAUGAUAAAUAGGGACAGUCGGGGGCAUUUGUAUUCAAACGACAGAGGUGAAAUUCUUGGACCGUUUGAAGACAAACUACUGCGAAAGCAUUUGCCAAGAAUGUUUUCAUUAAUCAAGAACGAAAGUUAGAGGUUCGAAGGCGAUUAGAUACCGCCCUAGUUCUAACCAUAAACGAUGCCAGCUAGCGAUCUGCCUGCGUUUUUACUGUAGACUGGGCAGGAAGCUUCCGGGAAACCAAAGCAUUUGGGUUCCAGGGGAAAGUAUGGUUGCAAAGCUGAAACUUAAAGGAAUUGACGGAAGGGCACCACCAGGAGUGGAGCCUGUGGGCUUAAUUUGACUCAACAC
rnacentral:rRNA from 1 species